CUCUUUGUCAUGAAGGCAAAUCUUGGCUCUUUUUGCCUUUUCUCUCCUUUCUUCUUUGUCUUGCCCUCUUUCUUAGAGCAUUCUCCUCCAUCCUCAGACCUUUUUGGUGGGAUCUCUUUCUUUGUUUUUCCUGAAUCUUCCUCACCACCAGCCUCACUUGAAGAGAAAGAAACAGAAGAAUUAGGGGUGACAGGAUUUUCACCGUUUCCACCUCCACCUAAAUCUCCAAUUUCCACAGGCUUUGGAUUGCCUUGUUUAGAAGAAAAAACUUCAGAAGACGAAGGCGACAUGCCAAAGGCUUUUGCAAGAGAGUUAUAGUCCAUGGAUCCAUGUAAGCACUCAGUGAAGCUCAUGUAGGAAGAAGGAUCAAACCCUUGUGACCCAUAAGUUGACGAAAUGGAAGGAGGCUCUUGAUUGUAACCUCCAGCUUCAUCGAUGAUAUCAUAGUGAUCUUCAUGGGAAGGAGCAUGGUAGUAGAGGUCUCUGUGUUCAUCAGACAUGGAGGAAGAAGAAGAAGAAGAGGAGGAGAAAGAGGAAGAGGAAGAGAAGGAGGUUGAGGGUUUGGAUUUUAUGUGCGUUGGUUGGACUUUUAGUUCAUAGGUCUCUAUAUAUACAUAAUUACAUAUAUGCUUAGCGAGAUGUUUGAGAUUUUAGAAAUAUAAUAAAGAGAGAAAGUGUUUGGGUUUAGAGUAGAGCAGUUGCUAAUAUCACUUUAUAAAG
rnacentral:misc_RNA from 1 species